AUGGCGAGCACGCGAGGCCGACAGACAGUGCUCCUUGCUCGUGAGCUGCAAGCGAAACCAACGCACUUUCAAUCGCUUCGAAAGGUACUUCAGUUAGAUAAGCCCCAGCAAAGACAGCAAGAGUCUCAUGGGGCCACACCAAGGAUAACAGUGUUCCUGCUCGAGUCCCGGGUCAUGUCACCGAACUUCACUGAACAUAAUGGAUAUGUGCAGGUAUUCUUCGCAGCAAAUGGC